UGGGGAAUUUUGGACAAUGGGCGAAAGCCUGAUCCAGCAAUGCCGCGUGUGUGAAGAAGGCCUUCGGGUUGUAAAGCACUUUUGUCCGGAAAGAAAUCCUCUGGGUUAAUACCUCGGGGGGAUGACGGUACCGGAAGAAUAAGCACCGGCUAACUACGUGCCAGCAGCCGCGGUAAUACGUAGGGUGCAAGCGUUAAUCGGAAUUACUGGGCGUAAAGCGUGCGCAGGCGGUUUUGUAAGACGGAUGUGAAAUCCCCGGGCUUAACCUGGGAACUGCAUUCGUGACUGCAAGGCUAGAGUAUGGCAGAGGGGGGUAGAAUUCCACGUGUAGCAGUGAAAUGCGUAGAGAUGUGGAGGAAUACCGAUGGCGAAGGCAGCCCCCUGGGCCAAAUACUGACGCUCAUGCACGAAAGCGUGGGGAGCAAACAGGAUUAGAUACCCUGGUAGUCCACGCCCUAAACGAUGUCAACUAGUUGUUGGGGAUUCAUUUCCUUAGUAACGUAGCUAACGCGUGAAGUUGACCGCCUGGGGAGUACGGUCG
rnacentral:rRNA from 1 species